rnacentral:rRNA from 1 species
GAUGAACGCUGGCGGCGUGCCUAAUACAUGCAAGUCGAGCGAACAGACGAGGAGCUUGCUCCUUUGACGUUAGCGGCGGACGGGUGAGUAACACGUGGGUAACCUACCUAUAAGACUGGGAUAACUUCGGGAAACCGGAGCUAAUACCGGAUAAUAUUUCGAACCGCAUGGUUCGAUAGUGAAAGAUGGCUUUGCUAUCACUUAUAGAUGGACCUGCGCCGUAUUAGCUAGUUGGUAAGGUAAAGGCUUACCAAGGCAACGAUACGUAGCCGACCUGAGAGGGUGAUCGGCCACACUGGAACUGAGACACGGUCCAGACUCCUACGGGAGGCAGCAGUAGGGAAUCUUCCGCAAUGGGCGAAAGCCUGACGGAGCAACGCCGCGUGAGUGAUGAAGGUCUUCGGAUCGUAAAACUCUGUUAUUAGGGAAGAACAAACGUGUAAGUAACUGUGCACGUCUUGACGGUACCUAAUCAGAAAGCCACGGCUAACUACGUG